CAGGCAACACGUCUCCCUCUCCUGCUCCCGCUCCCGGGAAAGUCGCUUCUGCUCAUCCUGCAGCUGCUGCUUUUCUUCCUGGAGGAGCCGCAUGGCCUUCAGGAGCUCCCUGCGCUCCUGCUGCGCCUCCUCCACGCGCUGCCAAACGGCUGAAGAGAUUCGAAUGGCCGAUAAUCCACAUGCAAAAGGGUCGUACCUCAAGCAGGCCAGUCUUGGUGGUGACCACCAGGAUGUCUGAAUUGCUGUCAUCUUCACUGACAGUCAGCAGCUCCUCGGUGGGUGUGGCUGACCUGAACUGGAACGGUGUGCUUGCCCCUCUUAUGUCACCGCCGUGUGUCACGUAACAGAACUGGUAGAAUUCUCCAUCAGACUUGGGAACAUAGUAACCUAGACGAUAGAAGAACGGACGUAUCAGUCGGAGUCUUCAGUUGAUACCUGUAUCUGCUUCGCACUGAAGAAAGUCUGACUUUGAUUCAAUUCUGCACAAACUUUUUUUUUUUAUUAAAUGUUUUUUUUCCCCACUAAUGUCUACUGUGAUUUGAAGGUGUCUGGCUCGCCUGGUUCACCAUAGGGUGCGUUAAGUGCAGGAAAUCAAUCUGCAAACCACGUCUACUGCCUCGUGACACAUCGCAGCAUGCGCUCAUAUUUUCAUUGUGUAAAAAUCUGACCAUUCCAGGGACAGUAAAAACUAGUUUGCAGGCCCUUACCGUGCGGUUUCAGAGGCGCUUUAAGUCCUCGGCCCGACAUGUGCGGUUAUGUUUCCUUAUGAAAUAAAAAGUGCUGCUUUUUA